rnacentral:tRNA from 1 species
GCCUGGGUGGCUCAGUUGGUUGAGCAUCCGACUUCGGCUCAGGUCAUGAUCUCGCGGUCUGUGAGUUCGAGCCCCACAUCGGGCU